UAAUAAGUACUGAUAAAAAAAUUAUGCCCGCAUGUGCAGGCAAAACACCUAGUUAUAACAUAAAGAGAACCCGUUUUUUUCUUUCUUGUCAGCAAAAAGAAGCCGAUAUAUAGGGGUUUAAUAACUUCUCCCAAAUUUUGGCUUAUUAGAAAAUAUGGAUUUUAUAGUAAAAAAACAAUGAAUCCAAAUACCACUUCUAAUGACGCUAUUUGAAAAAAAAAAUCAUUUCACAUUUUUAAAAUGAAGAUCAAACUGUUUGAAAUGAAAAAUAAAUUUUGAAAAUCAAAUUUUAAAAACUAUAUAUUUUAUAUAUUUCAUAAAACAAUAAAAAUAUCAAACUAUAAUAAUUUAAAAAAUAAAAUAUUAUUUUGAAUAAAUUUUUAAGAGAAAUUACACUGCAUAUACAAGCAUAACCGCUUAAUUUGCAGAUAUGGAAAAGUGCUUUUUUCAUCAACACGCGCUUGAUUUUAUGACCAUUCUGUCCCUAGGUUCGUGUAACGCUACCUACAGCCUAUUCAAUUUCGAAACCACCUAUACUCUCUUCCUCACGCGUCAUCAAAAUCGAUACAACACUCAUCUCUCUCCUCGUAUCUUUCACCGCUCAUUUUUUUGGGAGUUCUUUGUCAUCUCCGUCGAAAAUUAUUUUCGGAAGUUUCUAAUACCAAUCUCCGAUCACCGCAAACCUAAUUCUGAGUUGCAAUUACUUAUCACAUCCUUUGACGAUUUCAUGUUCCCCACGGGAGAUCAAAUGGCAGACACCUUUUUCCAUCUCGGUUCUUUGCCAUUGGAGAUGAACCCGAUGGUCUGAGAGUCACUUUCUACCACCUACCACAAGCCUGGAUGCAUAAAGCAUAUAUUAGAGACACUCGAGGAAGACGAACUCGAAGUCCUAAAGGCGUCGUCUUUUGGCAAAUUCAUAGAGUUGGCAGACAAGUCUCCAUAUUUCGGUCGUCUUGGACGUUUCAUGAUGUCUGAGACAGCUUAAAGUAAACAAGAAAUACGAGGCAAUGGUAUUAAACCAGCACACGCAAGGACACUGGACACGGCUGAAAAUGUCCAUGUUACGUCUAUUAUUCCUCAGGACCUGAAAGCACUGACCGUGGAAAGGGCAAGGUCUGUCCCUCAAAACCCCAACCACGCUGAUUCUGGGGUCACAUCCGUCUUGUUCAUGCAAGCACACACUGAUGCUGGUACAUCAAUCAUGUAGUGAAGUCUGUAUUUUUCUUAGUUUGGGGAUUUUGAAGUUCUUGAAGUUAUACUGAUAUAACUUCAAAAAUUAUUCGUUUAUACAAAAUUCAUAUGUGUCUAAAACCAAAAAUAUGCAGCCAUGUGUUUACGUUGCAUCGAUUUGACAAACUAAUCUAUAUUUUAGUCAUAAUAACCAGCUACCUAUUCACUAGUACGGUUACCACACUCAUUAUCCCGCUAACUCCGUAAUUAUCCUCUAACUCCGUAACUAUCUUGACUUUUUAUAUAUUGAAGAUGUUUGUACAAAUAUAAAAAUAUCCGUCUAUGAUUGAGCUUAUCAAGAUAUCCAUUUUGAUUGUACUGCUAACUGUCAUGUUAUCCGUCUUUGUGUGUUAAGUGUCAUGUUAUCCGUAUAUGUGUGUUAAUACAUCUGCUUUGUUCAUUCCCCGUCCACAAUGAAAACUGGUAAGAUAGCACUAUUGGUGUCCGUUCUCCCACCACAUAUCUCAUCCUCACUAUGCUCAUCAAAGACUCAAAACGUUUCAUUGUCUCGGAUCAGAGCUUCAAAACCAAAGUCCAUGGGGUCCGGGUGGAAAUUUCAAGCGCCGUCUUCCUCCUUGUUCCACUCGCCCAUCACAAUCUCACAGCUUCCCCAUCUGAAAAAUAAAAAUUUCUAUAAGUAAAGGGAGCAAACACACAUUAAUACCGCAUGCAAGACAAAAUCAAUGAGAUAUUUAUUCCUAGUUCAACAAAAAAGAAUGUCGGAACAGCUCAGUUAAUUUUUUUUCCAACUUGCAAUCACCAUUAAAGCAUAAACAUUCUUCGCUAUAAAUGGAAACCCACAUAAAUGAUCGGCACGGCUCACCUGAAGCUAAUGAUGAACCCGAAAGACUUAGAGUUUAUGAGAGUUAUUAAAGACGACGCAGAAGAAAAUAGAUUUUUUACUUUGUGUUUCACUCUCCCGAACACCUCUUAUAGAACAUGAUCUAUAUGCUAUAUAUCGGCGAUAUAAUUUGUAUAUGUGUAUAUAACCGUGCAAUAUCAAACUCAGAGAUUAAACGGCUAACCAACAUUAUAGCUACGCUACGCGCCGAGAUCGAGGAGCUUCGCCUUUCUGAAGCUCGAAGAAAUACUCUUGACGUCGACCAACAUAUAUUACCUGUGUAAUACUGGGCGGAAAGGUUUAUGUUUCCUAGGCGCUCGUAAUGGUCAGUUUAUUUGGCUAUUUUUAGAUAAGAGGCUAAGCAAAUACAAACAGUCAUGUAUAUAUAGAUUCUCUAAUGAUUACAUGCACGUGAUGAUUGCAAAACCUUUUACGCUUCACUACGUAAAGAGUAGAGAUACAGGGUCACCGAUGUCUUUUCUCACUCUCAGGAACUGGGCCUUGCGCCUGGGCCGGCUGUUUUUCCAUUUGCGCAAAUUUCCUAAUCUUUCUAUAUUUAUGGUGCAGAAACUAGUUUUUGUGUUUUUUUUUUUUUUCCAUCUAAAAAUUUUAUAUUAAACAGGGCAAAAGCCCAAAAGUCUUACAAAGCCCAAACACAUUGGACACCCAACAAAUCAAACCGGCCCAAAGGCCCACAAACCAGGAAACCCUAGCGCCUAAGACGCUCUACCGCCUCCGCGCUCCCUCUCUGUACGAUCUGGUCGGAGCAUGAACCAAGGAAGCUCCAAUCGAGGAGAAGACUGCUCAGUGAGUGCGACACACAACACAACCGCCUCAACUUGUCCAUCUCCGCCACAGCACCGCCGGAACAAUCAUCAAACUGAAAACGCGUUUCAUCGGAUCUCGGAAACAGACGAGCCUCCGACGAAACCAACCCCGUUCGACACCCCCCUGUCUUCACGCCGGGAGAUUCCAUCGAUCUAUCGAGAUCUCCUCGGCCUUUGAACCACUUCAAACCCUAGACAAGUGAAUCGUGAACCGGAGCAUAAAGACCCCAAACCCUAACUCCACCGACGCUUCAUUCAAGGGGAAAACUCCCCAUCGACGCCUCAAACCGACACCGAGACACCACCCUCAAACAACCGGAGCAAAACGAGCCUCCGCCUUCCAAGAUAACUAAAGCCGCCCGUUCACCUGAGUAAGGAGCCACGGCGGUAACAAAAGCCGACCGUUCACCUGAGAAAGGAGCCACGGCGGUUACAAGAACCGAACGUCCGCUUCGAGAAAAGCGCAACGCCGGAAACACUAGAUCUACUCAAAA